GUAGGAGUCAUUGCCAUGGGAAAGCAGUAGGCCUUGGAUUCCUGGUGAGACAGAGCAGCAGAAAUGCAAGAACGUCUGCAGAGUGGCAUGUUAUAUCAAGUCUCAGGGAGAGGCAGCUGGAGGAACCUGUCCAUUCAGCACCUGGACUAAGAGUCAAGGCUCUGGCCCACAGAAGGCUGAAGAUCAGCUAUUUACACCACCCGCCAGUGACAUGCUCAUCGGGAGCACAUGCGCCCCGACAUAGGUUUGUUCAUUGGGAUCUUCCCUUGACCUUCUCUAGAGAUGAAGCUUCCUGGCAACAAUCAUAUUUAUUCUACUCAUAGGACCAUUGGUCUUGCUUGACCGAUGCUAAAGAUGUCACAAAAAACACCAAUCUGGCAUGUACUUUUCAUGCUGAUACUUUUACUUAUUGAAUGUGUGUUCAUAUAUUGAGGACAAUUUUGUGUGUAAA